rnacentral:rRNA from 1 species
ACGGUCUUCUAUCAGAUAGCUGGUCUGAGAGGACGACCAGCCACACUGGGACUGAGACACGGCCCAGACUCCUACGGGAGGCAGCAGUGGGGAAUUUUGGACAAUGGGGGAAACCCUGAUCCAGCCAUGCCGCGUGAGUGAAGAAGGCCUUCGGGUUGUAAAGCUCUUUCAGCCGGAACGAAAUGGUUACGGUUAAUACCCGUGACUAAUGACGGUACCGGAAGAAGAAGCACCGGCUAACUACGUGCCAGCAGCCGCGGUAAUACGUAGGGUGCGAGCGUUAAUCGGAAUUACUGGGCGUAAAGCGUGCGCAGGCGGUUUUGUAAGUCAGAUGUGAAAUCCCCGGGCUCAACCUGGGAACUGCGUUUGAAACUACAA